rfam:Schistosoma mansoni strain Puerto Rico chromosome W, complete genome
ACUUAACUGACGAGUCCCAAAUAGGACGAAACGUGUGUCCAGGAU